UCAAUUUCCCCUCUCCGUAUCUCCUCUUCUUCUUCAUAGAUUUGAUAUUGUGUGAAUUUUAGGUAUUUGAUGGAAAAAGGCAAAGUUGCAGAGGACAUAACAAAAGAAACUAGAUUUGAAUCCCAAUUUCAACCCCAAAUCUUCAUAUUUUAGUCCUACCUUCCAAUCCAUCAGAUUGAGUCGUCGCCAGAAGACGGAACCCCCAAG
rnacentral:misc_RNA from 1 species